UUUUAAGAGAUUACCUACUUUUCUCGCUCUCACGCCUAGAGAAGCUGCCCUAACCUGAUGCCUUAUCUGAGGAAUAUAUGUGUGGAGAAGUGACUGUGUGCCAGAGACCCCUGUGCACAUUCAUAAGUGGGAAGGUAAAACUCCUAAUACUUGACACCACACAAAAAUACAAAGAUGUUUCUCCAAUGGCAAAGUACUUGUGGUCUCCCUUCGUCUGUUGCUAGGAGACCUGUUUAAGAAUUAAUCAGGGAAACAUCACAAAUGCUGCUAAAUCAUGCACCACACUACAGAUUGAGCUGCUCCAAAGAGAUGAGAAAACUUGCUUUUUCUGUUAACCCGGCACAGACUGGUAUGCAGCACAAUUUCCUUCAAAAGACCUGGAGACUGUAACAGAGGAUUGGUGGGCUCUGUCCAGUCUGCCCUGAGACCCCAGCAUAGAGCCUGAGAGAUGCUAAGUAUAGCAAAAGCAGGACUUGAGUUGUGGUGGCAAGGAUCUCUGCUGCCAAGUGGAGAAAACUUUGUUACCAGCCCAAAGUCAGCACCUGGGACCGUGGCUGUCGCUCUGCUGGUGGUCUUGAUCAAGUUGCCAUUGGACAGAUUUCUCUCCUACAGACCCACCACAGUAUCUGGUGAGUGGGAAGAUGAGCCUGCUGCACCGAACACAAGCAGGUAG
rnacentral:lncRNA from 1 species